rnacentral:rRNA from 1 species
UACGUAGGUGGCGAACGUUAUCCGGAGUUACUGGGCGUAAAGGGUCCGCAGGCGGGCUUGCAAGUCUGACGUGAAAUCUUCUGGCUCAACUAGAAGAGGUCGUUGGAAACUGCGAGUCUAGCAUCCCGCAGAGGUCGGUGGAAUUCCCGGUGUAGUGGUGGAAUGCGUAGAGAUCGGGAGGAACCUCGAAAGCGAAGGCAGCCGGCUGGGCGCGGAUGGACGCUGAGGGACGAAAGCGUGGGGAGCGAACAGG